UAUAAGCUGGACUUCUAUUCAGUUUGUUGUGCGUGUCAGUUAAGUGCAGAAGAUCCAGGUAGAAGAUAAAGGGAUGGGCUUUCCUCAGCCAUACAUGGACUCUUACAUAGAGAAUGCUAAUGCCAAAUGCAAUCCCAUGGAUGAACAACCUUCAUUGUUCCUUACAAUAACAAAGUGCAGUAUAGUAUUAACAUAAAUUGUUAAACUAAGACCUUUUCUGUAUUGUAAAUGACUACACAAUUUACAUUAUAACACAGAGGUGGAUGAAAUACUUCUGGGUACACACUAGGCAGGCAAGCUUCUCCUAAAUGUUUGCAAUGCUUCUACUUAGCUAUUUUUUCCUGAAAGACAGUUUCACAGACACACACAGUACAUCUGCUGUGCACAUGAGCUUGCUUCAAACAAGACAUCACUGGAAUAGUCGGUGACUGUACUCCACGAGUAGCUACAAAGAAAACUAACUGGAAUCAGGAACCUAAUGCUGGAUACCAAAAGCCCUGCAACAAACUUUCCUUGACAAGUUGCCAUUGCAGUCUCUGUGAUAGCUCAUAGAAAUAACUUGCUCUGUUCUGCAAUGGGUUCAUGAAGACGUGUAUUUACCUGCACAUACAGAGAUUUGCACACUACUCGUUAACAAGUGUAAUCGGGUGUCUAAAUCUUUGCUUCAAGAUAGCUGUAAGGAUUUGCUUGUGCACCCAGCAUGUCUCCAGCAGCCUGUUAGCUUUAGCUUGGAGGAUCUGACCCAAAGCCUAGUUAAAAACAGCCUCUUCAUUAUACUUUGCAGCUUCUUUGCAUAAGAACCAGCAUGUUGGAAACGUACAAUGGGAUCCCAUAGCUUUUAACUAAGCCUAAUGUCACGCUCUGGAUACAUGUUUCUGAAGUACUGUCUUCUCCCUUGAGAGAGCUCUGGAUGCACCCACACAUCACAAAACUACUUGUGUCGUAUUCUUAACAGUUUGCUUCUUCCUCCCACCUGUGUUAUAAAGAGAAGAAACAUUCCCACGUGGCCACAAACAUCUCAAGGCACUGCUGUUUCUCAGAGACAAUGCAACGUGUCCGUGCUCUCUUGUCCCGCGGACAGAACAGAGCUGAGUUACGCAGGCACUCAAUCAGCUCAAAAAAUCCCUCUGCGCAAGAAAACAUCGAGGUGGCAGGAGCUGCCUUACGGCUACUGCAGAAGUUUGGCAGCGGAACUUUCCGUCCCCCAAGACCCGCAAUCAGAGCUGUGCACAGCCUCCCCAGGACGGCGGGUGCUCGCCAACUCCAACGCUGCGGUUGAUGUGAUGACACUGAACUGUUGCCCAGAUCUCCAUGACAUCAUGGAGCCUUAUUCAGGAUUGCCCUAAGCCACAUGAACUGUCCAGAAUGAAAAUUAAAGGAAGGAAGCUGAGACUUAAUUGUGUGGACUCCUUUAAUAUGAGGUAGAAAUGCAUCAUCCAAAGUAUGAAGAAAAAAGAGUUGCAAUAUUUAGACUGUCGUGACAUCAGAACAAUGAAGGAGGAUCUUCCUGGCUUGAUUAGUACAUAUGAAAAAGUGAUGUCUGCAACAGGACUCUGAAGAACACCAGCCUGUAUUGUGUGUGUUCUUGUGCUUAGUGGUAGAAAAAGCAUGUUAUUCUGUUUUUUCUAUAAGGCUCUAUAACAUCUCUCAACUGAGAAAUCUAAUUUCUUACACAGAAUUUCUUUACCCAAGAAAUGAAAAAAAAAAAAAAAUAGUUCAAACAUUAGUAAUGCUUUUCAGAUCCAUUUAAAUAUGAGUCUAUUGAAUAAUUGCCACAUCCCUCCUUCUGUUUGCUAUCUAAGGAAUUAACUACUAGGUUCUUCUACUAGCUAAUUUGGUGUUAAAUGGCUCAUAUUGUUCCUCCUUUCAGGGAACAGCACUAGCAGCAAGGUUUUGUUUCUCUUCUUUUCUGGUAAUUCUAGUGUUUGCAUGCAUAUGUUCUUUAGUAGGAAUGCUUGUAUUUUGGGGUACUAGGGUGCACCAUUUUAAAACAGUGUAUAGUUGUGAAGUAUAUUCUAUCACUUUUUUCAGAAUUCUACUAUGUAGAAGAGGUUAACAAUCUUCUCACAGAUCGUGAAGGUAAAUGAUAUGCCCAGUUGUACCCAGCAAUGUGGGAGAUACCUCUUUAGAUGGCUGAUUAUGCUACAAAGAAUGCAGAAGUGUUGGAGGAAGAACUGUUGUAUGUGUUCCGUUGAAAUAAAGGAAGACUUCUAUGCAAUAAUAAUCUCAUUAUGCAAGAGAGAAAGAAUGUUGGUCUGUAGCUACACCACACACCUACAAAUUCGAACAAAGCAGAGAACUCAUGGCGAAGUUCCAUUGCAGACAGACUAUAUACUGAUGAUGCAAGCAGGAACAGGCUAUAAAGGAGGAACUUAGAAAAGCUGACCAGAUGUGAAGGGAUGGUGUCAGGAAAAUUCAAGUUCAACUAGAGCGAAGACCAAUAAGGGGCACAGGACAAAAAAUGUUUCUGCAAGUACAUUACAAGGUAACCCAGACCACUGCACUUAGUGCCAGGGCUCAAGGAGGAGAGUUACCUCUGGAUGUAGACCAAGUGAAGGAUAACUGGACCAAUACAAGUUCAUGGGAGCAUUCAAGGGUGAUGAUUACUUGGCCUUCAAAAAAGGCCAAGUAGAAUUUUGUCCCAGUCACCCUUACUUCAGUCCCAUGGAGCAAUUCCCUUACGUACAUGUUUCUGGCUAGAGAAAGAAAAAAUUAUUGAUGGGGAACAGUCAUUGUGGAUUUACCAAGUAAAAAUCAUUCCUAACUAGUCUGAUUAUCUUCUAAGAUAAAAUGCCUAAGUGCGUGAAUUAAUAGUAGCAGAUGUCAUUUAUCUUUAGUAAGUCUUACUAAGGCUUAGUGAGGACUUGAGUAAGGCUUUUGACAGUCUCCUGAAAUAUUUUUCUGCCCAAAUUAGGACAUUAUUGUCUGAACAGCUGGGAAAAAGGUUGGAUGAUUAGACUCAGAGAGAUAUUUAAUGAGUCAAACUCUAAUUGGAGGCCAGUAACAAGUGGAUUACCACUGGAUUUCAUCCUGGGCUCUGUCUUAUUUUACAUCUCAGUCAGUGACUCUUAGGAAAUAUGCUCAAGUUUGUAGAUGACACCAGAUUGGGAUAAGCAUUUGAUACUCCUUUGGACAGAACUUUCAUUUAGAGAGACCUAAACAGUCAGGAAGACCGGUCCAAUAGAAACCCUAUAAAAAUCGACAUAGAUGGACAAAUCUUGUCCAUUGGAAUGAAAAACUGCCUAAAAUAUAGGCAUGAGACUGAUAGUCUGAUGGAAAGCAGCUCUGCUGGAAAAGGUCCGGACCUCUGGGCCCAUGAGAAAGCUGAGUAUGAGCCAGCAGCCUGCCCAGCCAGCAAAGACAGCCAGCAGCAUCCUGGAUUGAGUGAACAGGUAGAUGAAAGAAAGGAAUUACACAAUUGUACUUGAUUGAUCAUAUCUGGAAUACUGCAUCCAGUUUGGAGCUGUCUGAUAACGAGAAACUGUAGAAAGUUCAACCAAGUGCCAUAAACAUGAUCGAGAGCUGGCACAUUCACCCUGUGAGGAGAAGCUGAUGGUCUAGGGCUUGUGCAAACUGAAAAUGAGAAAAGACAGCUGUGGUGUACUUAACAGCUGCCUGCCUAUACCUAAAGUGUGGUCGCUGAGGAGGCAGAUCCAGGCUCUUUACAGAGCCUGGAGAAUAAGAAGCGAUGGGCAUGUGUUCAUGAGAGGCUCAGACUGGAUGGAUGUGAGAAGAAAUGUUUUCCUUGAUAGGAUAGACAGCUGGUGGAGCAGUUUUGCAUGGAAAGACUGCAGACUCCGUGGUUCAAGGUUUUCAAGUCCCAGCUGAACAAAACCCUGAGCAGCCUGCAUGAACUUGUAUCUGACCCUGCUUUGGGUUGAAGGUUGGAUGACAGACCUGCAGUGAUACCUUUCAAACUGAUUUAUCCUAUGAUCCAAAGGACAGAGGUUGAAAAACUCAACCAUAGGAAAUCAUAGAUAGAUUGGUUUGUUAAUAGGUGAAUUCCAUGAAAUUCAGCAUUUCUGUGAUCUCGGUAUGGCUUUAUUCAUUCCAAAUUGAGUACUUCCCCGGAAUUUAGUAGGAAUAACAGGAGGCUAGAAAGAUGUGGUGAAUUUUUGAUACAUUUUCAAAAAUUUGAUUCUAUUUCUGUUCUUUUUUCUGAUUACUUAGCUUUUUGGACAUCACAGAUUAGGAAAAUAAAAAGAUCUGUUGAAUAUAGAUUCUUUAUAAUUUACUUUCCAGGGGAAAAAAAAUAAUAUUUUCUUCUUUUUCCUGUGUAUCAGAAUAAAGGACUUUCUGUCACUCCUCACAGAAGUCUACUGUAAAAAAAUAAGUUCAUGAAAACUGAAUUAACAUCCUUAGUAAUCAGAACAGAUGCUAAUUUUUUUUAUUUUUAUUUCAUUUUUGUUCACUUGCUACUGUAAGCAGUUUGCAGUGACUUCUUAGGGACUUGCUACUACCCUCUAGCUCUUCCCAAUUUGAAGCUGUCUUCUCAGCAAAUUACCUGGUCCUUUAAAAUAGGAAUGUCCCCCCAUUUCUAUACAAAAUGCAUUUUUAACUUUCUCUUGAGGUAUAAAUACUCAGAAUACUUCUGCAGAACAUUCAGUUCCAUUUCGGCAUUUUUGAUGUUUGAGACAAGAAUGCUUUGAUAGCACAGCUGUUUUCCUAGUUGUUCCAAAUUCAGAACUCCAGGGAUAAAGUAAAAAUUUUGGAAAAUAUCUUCAGGGUAGUAGGCUGAUUUCAGGAUUCUGUUUAGUAACAAAUAAUUGGUGACGUCCUCACUUCAUUUCCUGUGGUGAAUAAUAAUUUCACAGUUCAAUUUUUUUAAUAGAAUGAAAAACCAAAGCAAAGAAAAUCUUUAUUUGAUUGCAAUUCAGUCAAUUUCAUUUGACAAUUCAAUAAUUUUUGUUAAGAAAAAUAAUGAUAAAUCAUCAACUACAUUGUUUUGUAAUUUCAGCUGAUGAAGUUAUUGACACUAGUGUAAAAGCAAUACAAUGCAAAAUCUGUUCAUUUUCAUCAGUUGUGUUGAAAAAUGAAAAUGUAUGACAAAUGGACACAUGGGUAAAUAAAAGAAUUUUCAGAACAACUAGUAAGUGAGUCUGACAGUGGUAUUAGAGAAAUAAAGACAAGACAAAAUGUUUGUAACAUUGACUAAGAUAGCAGAAAGAAUUAGAAACUGAUGUGGCAAAUGGCCUUCUCUAAAAGCUGCUUCACAACAUCCAUAAUCCAUUGCCUUCAUUGGCUGCGCAUACUGAACCAGAAUCAAUAGUUGCCCCACAGCUGAGACUAGUCUUCAGUCACACAGUGUUUUGACUGUCAAGAAAUCCAAUAGAUAGAAAAGGGACCUGUCAUGUCUGUUCAUUUUCAUUUGUCCGAUUCUUCACCCUUUCUCAAUAUCCUAACAACUCUUUCUCCUACAUACAUUUUAUUUCUUCCUUCACAUAAUCUCCACUUCCAUGUGUCCAUUUCUCUUUUCUCCCUUUCUUUGCUUACAAAUCUCCAGCUUGUCCAAGAGAUUUGCACAGUAAUUACUUUAUUGCCUUGGUUUCUCUUUUCUCCAAAACCUCAUAUUUUAAUAUUUCUACAUCAAAAUUAUCUCUUUCCUUUAAUUCCUUCUCUUUAUCAGCACUCUAAUAUCAUGCUUGUAGUAGCACUUUAUAAUCUAAAAUAAAAGCAUUAUACUCCUUUAAUCUACAUUGGUCAAAUUUAAUUGUAUUAUUUCAUUUUUUGAAAUGUUUAUUGCAUGUGGAUUUUAAUGCCAUUUUGUAAGUAGAAUAAUGUUUUUUAAACUAUAUUGAGUCAGAAUGCUCAUGUUAUUUUAUCUGUCAGGAAAAAUAAUGUAAAAGGCUGUAUAAUGUAGCUAGUCAGUAUAAUAGGUAUUAGUUUUUUGCUUUAUUUCAUUGUAGUUUGUUUUUUUGUUUGUUUGUUUGUUUUUCUGUGCAUUGUUUUAGUUUUAUGAAAAGUGAUAUAAUAUAAAGCCCACAUGUUUAAGGGCUGUGAAGGAAAAUAGAAUGACAUGUAAAAAGGCUAAUGUAGUAUUAUGCAGCAAAGCACAAACAGGAAUACUUCAUGCCUAGACUUAUUCUUCAGGUAUUCUGUGCUCCAGAAAUUCCAGAAUAGUUUUAGUCCUGUUACAGAGAAUGUAAAGAGGAGUGAAUUUGAAGUAAAAGUCCAACACAGGGAAAAAUCAUAUAUUCAUAGAAUUGCAGAAUGGUUUGGGUUGGAAAAGACCUUAAAGAUCCAGUUCCAACCCUCACAUUGUGGACAGCCACCAGCUAGAUCAGGCUGCCCAGUGCCGCAUCCAACCCAGCCUUGAAUGCCUCAUGGGAUGGAGCACCCACAGCUUCUCUGGACAGACUGUGCCAGAGUCUUACCACCCUCUUGAGUAAAGAAUUUCCUCUUGACAGCUAAUCUAAAUCUUCUCUGUAUUAGUUUAAAGCCAUUCCCCCUUGCUCCACCGCUACUGGACUGUAUACAAAGUCAGUCUCCUUCCUGCUUAUAUACUCCCUUUAAGUACUUGUAGACCACAAUGGGGCCUUCUCUCCUCCAAGCUAAACAAGCUCAGCUCCCUCAGCCUGUCUUCAUAGGAGAGAUGUUCCAGCCCUUUGAUCAUUUCUGUGGCCCUCCUCUGGACCCAUUCCAACAGUUCAAUCUUUCUUAUACUGGGGGCCUCAGACCUGGAAAUAGUACUCCAGAUGAGGCCUUACAAAGAUAGUGAGGGGAGCAAUCACUGCCUCGCCCUACUGGCCACUCCAGAAUAUGCACAGGCAGGGAAGACACUGUCUUUGACUAGGAGGUGCUGAGAGGACUACCUGUCAAAAAUAUUUAGCAAUUAGCCUUGCUGAAUAUAUGAGGUAAUAAACCACUGCACAAUAUAACAACCUUGUAGUCUCAUAGCAAACCAUUAUUUGUCCUGAUGAAAAAAGAUAAGAGAUUCUUCUACCAUGAGUAUGAAUUAAUAUAAUUUUUGUCAUGCUAAAACUUCAUUAAUAAUGUUUCUUCAAUAUAUCUCCUCUAGUUUAAACUUCCAUAGAGCUGUAUUUGAAUCCUUAAGAUAAAAUUGAGACAGCUCUUCUCUUAAAAGCAGUAAUAUUUUUCUAUAUAAACAGCUGCCAGAAAGCCACUCCAUUUUGAUGUGUUCGUGUACCAUUACUGUCAUAGCCUGUGUGCUGUAGCUGAUUGUUGAUUUGUACUAGUGGUUGUCUUUUUGUUGGUGAAUACCUGUUCCUGAAAGAAUCUUAUGAUGCUUAUAUAUGAAACCUAAGGAUUUUCACCUAGGUGAAUCAGUGUUCUGUUCUUCUGUAUGUAUGUUUGUCACAAAUCACAAUAUGAUGUCAUCAAAUUCAUGAUGCACCAGGAGACAACUUCUGUUGCUCUAGCUUGCACAACCCACAAACAGACAAAACUGUUUGUGUGAACUCCAAACUUGCAUUAUGCACUUAAGCUCAGAAAAUUAAUCAAGACCCUGUUGCAGUAACCUGUCUCUACACAGAAGCUAUAAAUUUAGAGAUGCAUUUUGUAUUAGAAUUUGACUCUACCUAUUUUUCAAAGCAAUUCUGAAUUGCAUGCUGUCAGACUGAACAAUCAUUUCAAAUUACAUGAUUUAUUAUUCUUCAGUCUUCCCUGAUACAAAAGAAGGAAUCUAUUGAUUUUUUUUUAGGCCAAUUUUUAUUACGGUGUAAGGCAUCAUGAUUGUUAUUAACUGAUACUGUACGGUCAGUGAAAUAGCCAGCAUUAUUAGUUAAUGUGCAAGCAAAUAUCGACCAGUAAUUUUCAACAAUAAAUGUAAUGAUAUGAGACAUGAGGGUUUAUUCAGCAUUUUAUUUUAACAAUCCAACAACUGGAGAAGAUCUAGGAGCAGGAAUCCAGCUAUCCAAUAAAAUUUAAGCUGUAAUUUUCAUCCAUCUAGUUUUUGCAAAAUUGGUCUUGGACCAGUGGUCUAAUGAAUUUAGCUUUAGGAGAAAAUCAAUUAUAUGCAAAUAUUUAUUGAGUUGUCAUAGACUAAGCAAAUCACCUAAAAGAUUUAACAGCAACAAAAAAGAACAAGCAAACAAACAACAAUGAUUUUAAUUCAAAGAGGAAAGCCUUUCUGCUAUAUCACUAGAAAUGGAGUUUGUAUCUGUGGGAAACUGAAUAUCAGGUGCAUAUUAAGACAGCAUAGCUAUUUCUUUCAACAGAAGCCAUGUAAAUUCUCUGACAGGGAGAACAUACUUUACUGUGUGCAUGUGAGAGUAUCUGUAGCACUCCCUCCGCCAUGCAUCACUGCAGCAACAGUAGAAGCUUGCAACCUGCUGGCUUUCAGUGGCAUGAUGCUCCUUUGCCUGAGUGAAGGCAAUACCUCAUGGGUUGCACACCUAUGGUCAGCAGUGAUUAUUUUUAUUAUUUAUUAUUUUAACAGAGAUUAAUGCAGUUGGUAGCCCAGUAAGAUUUUCCUGUUGCUACCAGAAAGCCACAGGCCUCGGGUUUGUCUUGGGCUGUUCUGACUUUCAGAGGUGCCUCAUUUCCAAGGGAAUGAUCAUGACAUGCUCUGGUAAAAAAAGACCUAGACCUAAAGUAAGAUAAGGAAAAUUGUAUUUUUCAGACCAGAUAGUUAUAUACUUAUGUGAAUCUUUAAUACUAGAGGGAUUGUUUAUUUGAUGGUCUCCUUUCAGGCAUAAGUAAGGUCCUUUCUCAGGUCUGUGCCCUAGUGUUAGAUUAUGUUGCUAGAGAUCAGCAGACAAGUGAGAAAUAUUUGAUAUCUACCUUGUAUCACACAGAACAUGGUGAAAUAA